rnacentral:rRNA from 1 species
GCACAAGCCGGUGGAGCAUGUGGUUUAAUUCGAAGCAACGCGAAGAACCUUACCAGGUCUUGACAUCCUCUGACAAUCCUAGAGAUAGGACGUCCCCUUCGGGGGCAGAGUGACAGGUGGUGCAUGGUUGUCGUCAGCUCGUGUCGUGAGAUGUUGGGUUAAGUCCCGCAACGAGCGCAACCCUUGAUCUUAGUUGCCAGCAUUCAGUUGGGCACUCUAAGGUGACUGCCGGUGACAAACCGGAGGAAGGUGGGGAUGACGUCAAAUCAUCAUGCCCCUUAUGACCUGGGCUACACACGUGCUACAAUGGACAGAACAAAGGGCAGCGAAACCGCGAGGUUAAGCCAAUCCCACAAAUCUGUUCUCAGUUCGGAUCGCAGUCUGCAACUCGACUGCGUGAAGCUGAANUCG